AUUGAACGCUGGCGGUAGGCCUAACACAUGCAAGUCGAACGCGAAAGUCCUUCGGGAUGAGUAGAGUGGCGGACGGGUGAGUAACGCGUAGGAAUCUAUCCUGUAGUGGGGGAUAACGUUUCGAAAGGAACGCUAAUACCGCAUACGCCCUACGGGGAAAGCGGGGGAUCUUCGGACCUCGUGCUAGAGGAGGAGCCUGCGUCGGAUUAGCUAGUUGGUGAGGUAAAGGCUCACCAAGGCGACGAUCCGUAGCUGGUCUGAGAGGAUGAUCAGCCACACCGGAACUGAGACACGGUCCGGACUCCUACGGGAGGCAGCAGUGGGGAAUAUUGCGCAAUGGGCGAAAGCCUGACGCAGCCAUACCGCGUGUGUGAAGAAGG
rnacentral:rRNA from 1 species